CACUGCAAUGUCCUUUUCACAGGAAGGACAAACAAGAACUCUCAGAGCUUUCAUGGGAAAUCAAGAGAGCUGCCAGACCACAAAGAAGAACAGUGGCCAACCUGGAACCUCCCAGGAGACAGCAAACCCACAGUGUCCCACCUCUGCCUUUGAUGGCUUGCUCAGAAAAGCCACCUUGUUAACACAGGCAGGCAGGCACUGUGUGCUGAGACUUUCACCUCUGUCAAAAAACUUGAAGGGGAAGUGAGGUCCUGUGAGGCUGCUUAUGCACUUCUGGCUCACAAGUACUGUUGGGAUGUCUGGGUUACACUGAGAAGCUGCUGGAAUGAAAAGUUACAUGGGAUCUCACUGAAAACUACAAAGAGAAAACUGAUGUAAUUUUUAAUCUAGUGCACUUUAACAACUAGUGAAUGUUGAUUUCUUACUGGCAUCUUAUUGAUAAGAGUCUUUAUCAGCUUUUUAUAAUGGGGGAAGGUCAAUAGUGUCCCUCAGCCUGGCUGGGACUAGCUCUGUACUGGAGCAGAGUGGCCCACCUUUGUGACCUUGGUGAGGGGGCUCACAGGGCCUCG